UCAAGUCCAAGGUCAAGAUGAGAUACGAUGGAGGCGAACGGGAGGGCCAACAAGAAUCAAGCAUUCAUACAGCUGAGAGGGAAGGAUUUCAAGUGUACUUUCCAACAAAUCAAACGGCACAUGAUUCGGAGCUUGCUAGAGAAAGAUAUCACGAAUUAAAUUUGAAUCCGAUUCGGGUCCGAGCUGCCAGGAGACCCGAAUUUGUUUUAAUCACCCAGGACGCAUCCGGAGUCCAAAUCAAGCAAACAAGUACUUGUUGGAAAGGUAAUUACAAGACCUUUCCAACGGAUCUGGCCCCAUCAAGAGAUUCGACUCGUGCUGACCGUGACGAACAAAACAAGCUGACGGAUCUGUUUUUCUGUUUCCUAAAGAGUUGUAGUUUGUUAGGGAAGUUAGAGAUAGAGUUGGAUUUCGGCCUCCUUACUCAAGGUGGACGAAAGUAUCUCUCCCUCCUCCUAUUUAUACCCCAUGAGCCCCCCUAUGGAGCCUUGGGUUUUGAUUAGAUAAAGUUUAGCCAUCUUUGCUACUUUCGUGUAAUCGCGUGUGUCGGUUAGACCACCUGUUUUACCGUCGUCAAGACUCCAACUUAUCGUCUCGUUGAGACAUUGGUUUGAUAUAGUAUAUUCGCAAUUUUAGAUUGCAUCCGCUAUUUAUCUUGUUCUUGCUUGUUCUUCGAUUGCUUGCAGGAACAAAAACCUUCGUGGUCAGGUUGAUCGUGCCCCCGCGUGAUCAAUAACUCUUUGGAGUUGGCGUAUCGAUUGCUAAGGCGCUGCCUCCUAGGCCGUAGUCGGAUCGUCAACAUCACCUCCUACCCAAAUCGAGAGUUACCAAUCUCAUCGAAAGAUCGGGCCACCCGCACCCGCAUUACUACAAAUGAGUCGAGCCCACAAGGUAGUGAUACAGAGGAUUGUGUUGCUGAACUAAAAAGGGCAUGUGAUGAAAUAAAUGUGAUACCUAUUGAAUUUUCUGCACCAUGUGAAAUUAUUGUCGUACAUGGUGAUUCAAGUGCACCUACUGCUGAAAUUAAUUCUUCUAAUGAUUUGAGUGCACAAAUUAAUUUUGAUAUUGAUGAGAACGAAUCAUGUGAGGAAAUAACUAAUGUUUUGGAAGAAACAAGUGAGAUAGAUAAAUUUGAUUUAGGUUGUGUCGAGUUGAUUAGACAUGGAGUGAUUGAUAAGGAUCCACCUAUUAAUUCUUUAUGUUAUAUUACACUUGAUACACUUAUAUAUUUGUCACAUGCAAUGGAUAAAGUUUCUGAGUUAACAAUUUCAAAAUCUUUUGCUAAUGCCCAUGGAUACACUAUUCAAUUAAUUGGAGAACAUGAUGUCAACAAUAAAGUUUUGGUGCAUCAGAUUUGCAUUGCUUGUGAUAACUUUCUUGAUUUGAGAGAAAAUAAUAUGUUGCAUAUGCUUAACCAUUUUGAUAUGACCUCCAAUAUUGGUGUUGAUUAUUUGCCAAUUAGUUCUUUACACGAUUGUUUGAAUGUUAGUGCUUUGACAUGCUCUAAAUUUCAGCAUCUUGUAGUAACUAAUUUGGGUAACAUUAUUAAUUAUUAUUCUCCAGUGUUGGGAUGGUAUAAUGGUGAGCGGUGCAAACCAAAUACAAGAUAUUGUUUCACUUAUAUAUGCAAAACAUAUUGUCAAUCUUCUUGCUGGAAUGAUAUUCAUGAUGAUUGUGUGACUAAUUAUCUCAUGAGAUUGUGUUAUAAAACAUUAAUUGUGCAACAUGGGAGUGGAGUUAAAAAUAACGAUAUAUACAUAUACCAUGCGCAUACCUUGUCUCUUUUGUUAGCAUAUUUUCAGCAUAAACGACGCCGAGGACGGCUUUCCUUUCAAGAAAGGGAGGAUGAUAUGGACAUGCUAACCAUGGAUACGACCAUUAGAACCCUAAUUGUUGGUGUCUCUAAUAAUUAUAAUCAGGUGAAUUCAAUUACAAAAUGUUUUCAAUAUGUUACUUGCAAAGAGGCGGAGCUACUAUCUUGUGUAAUCUUAUUAUGUAGGCAUCUUAUUGAACUUUACAAGUCCAAAGUGAAGAUGAAGUAUUAUAGCCUGCAAAACGAGAUUCAAAGUGAAGCCUAUCAAGUCUACUUUCCAACAAAUCAAACGGCACAUGAUUCGGAGCUUACUAGAGAAAGAUAUCACGAAUUAAAGUUGACUCCGAUUCGGGUCCGAGCUGUCAGGAGACCCGAAUUUGUUUUAAUCACCCAGGCCGCAUCCGGAGUCCAAAUCAAGCAAACAAGUACUUGUUGGAAAGGUAAUUACAAGACCUUUCCAACGCAUCUGGCCCCAUCAAGAGAUUCGACUCGUGCUGACCGUGGCGGACAAAACAAGCUGAC
rnacentral:lncRNA from 1 species